rnacentral:misc_RNA from 1 species
GUAGGUGAACCUGCGGAAGGAUCAUUACCGAGUUCGUGCCCUCGCGGGUAGAUCUCCCACCCUUUGUAUACUAUACCUUUGUUGCUUUGGCGGGCCGCCUAGCUACUGGCUUCGGCUGGUGAGUGCCCGCCAGAGGACCCCAAACCCUGAAUAUUAGUGUCGUCUGAGUAAAAUUUUAAUAUUUAAAACUUUCAACAACGGAUCUCUUGGCUCUG